rnacentral:lncRNA from 1 species
AUGAGUCUAGCACAGGCAGCACAGAUGGAGGAGAUGCCAACAGACAUAACCAUUUACCCGCUGAUCAUUUCCUUCUUCGAGAAGUUGACAGAUCAUCAGUUGGAACUGCUGUUAAAGGGCCAGAUGGAAGAGACCAACAUGGCCCCGUUGAGGGAGCUGCUUUUGGACAUAAUCAAGACCUUGACCACAGACUUCCUACCAACAUUUUGGACGACAGACGUGGUGACGGAAGAUAUAAUCAAGUUGGCUCUGGGCAACAGCGUCACAGACUGUUUUAAAGCUGCUCUGGGGGUCACCGUCCAAGGCCAGAGUCCCAGCGCAAAGCUCUUGAGGGACAUGAUCGCAGAAGAGGUCACAGCCACCAUCCAGUGCUCCAUGUCGUCUCCAGACACCCCGAUGGAGCAGUACAUCACUCCCCCCAGCAGGCUGGACCAGAUGCUGAAACAAGCCGUCAAGAUGAUCAAGGCGAUCGGGCGUAAGAUGAUGAUGAAUGUGUCCACGUGUAGUGAGGGAGAAGUUCUAGAGGAGUCAGAACAACCAACAACAUCUCAACUCAAAAAAACAGAACAGGAACCAGAACCAGCGGAGUCAGUAAAAGCAGAACUCUCUGAUGAAUCAGAGAGCCAAGCAGGGGACUUUCCAGAGGUUGAAUCAAUGAGUCUAGCACAGGCAGCACAGAUGGAGGAGAUGCCAGCAGACAGAUUAACCGUUCGCUCGCUGAUCGAUUCCUUCUUCGAGACGUUGACAGAUCAUCAGUUGGAACUGCUGUUAAAGGGCCAGAUGGAAGAGACCAACAUGGCCCCGUUGAGGGAGCUGCUUUUGGACAUAAUCAAGACCUUGACCACAGACUUCCUACCAACAUUUUGGACGACAGACGUGGUGACAGAAGAUAUAAUCAAGUUGGCUCUGGGCAACAGCGUCACAGACUGUUUUAAAGCUGCUCUGGGGGUCACCGUCCAAGGCCAGAGUCCCAGCGCAAAGCUCUUGAGGGACAUGAUCGCAGAAGAGGUCACAGCCACCAUCCAGUGCUCCAUGUCGUCUCCAGACACCCCGAUGGAGCAGUACAUCACUCCCCCCAGCAGGCUGGACCAGAUGCUGAAACAAGCCGUCAAGAUGAUCAAGGCGAUCGGGCGUAAGAUGAUGAUGAAUGUGUCCACGUGUAGUGAGGGAGAAGUUCUAGAGGAGUCAGAACAACCAACAACAUCUCAACUCAAAAAAACAGAACAGGAACCAGAACCAGCGGAGUCAGUAAAAGCAGAACUCUCUGAUUCAUCAGAGAGCCAAGCAGGGGACUUUCCAGAGGUUGAAUCAAUGAGUCUAGCACAGGCAGCACAGAUGGAGGAGAUGCCAGCAGACAGAUUAUCCAUGUGUAGUGAGGGACAAGUUCAGUCAGAUCAACCAUCAACAUCUCAACUCCCUCAGUUGCCACAUACGGCAGAAAAAACAGAGGUCUCAGCAGAAAGCAAAGCAAAUCCUCUGUUAAGAAAACAUUCAUGGUGUGACCCGUCAACCACUGAGGAGGAAGGUUCGGCUGAUUCUGUCGCCCCCAUUCAGAUUAUGGUUAAGGCAUAUAACAAGAAAAAAACUAAACUGAAACCAGCGCAGUCACUAAAAGCAGGUAGCUCUGAUGACUCAGAGAACCAAGAAGAGAAGGCACCACAUGUUUUUCGGAGGUCAAAAACUCUGAAAAAAACUAAACAGGAACCAGAACCAGCGGAGUCUGUAAAAGCAGGUACCUCUGAUGACUCAGAGAACCAAGAAGAGAAGGCACCACAUGUUUUUCAGAGGUCAAAAACUCUGAAAAAAACUAAACAGGAACCAGAACCAGCGGAGUCUGUAAAAGCAGGUACCUCUGUUGAAUCAGAGAGCCAAGAAGAGAACGCUCCAGAUGUUGACUCAAAAUCUCUGAACAAAAUAUUUUCAUGGGAUUUAAAUUCAAGCACUGAGCAGGAUGAUUCUGACGUCCCCUUUGAGGCUAACAUUAUGCCAUAUAACAAGAACCAAACUAAACAGGAACCAGAACCAGCGGAGUCAGUAAAAGCAGAAGCACAGGUUGAAUCAAAACCUUGGGAUGAAGGUUGGGAUUUUUCUGGCGGCCACAUUGAGAUAAAGGUUAUGUCAUAUAAGGGGAGAAAAGAAUGGAGGGAUUCUGGCAGCUGGAUGGAGGUUUUCUUUGUUCCGAGGGACGUGGUCGAGGAGGAGGUACCCUCAGCGACUCCUGCCCAUCCUUCGCAGGAACAAAAGAGGGAAAAUGCACUGUUAUUAUUCCUGGAGAACCUGGUGUCACGGACAAUAAAGAAGUGUAAGGUUCAAAUUAUCAUCGAGGACCCCGCUACCAUCAUCGAGCCUCUCAUGAAUAGGACGUGGGCCGCGGUCGAGGACAUCGACUUUGAUUCCUCCCCCAAAACCUUCGCCAACUUUGAGAAAACCCUCCUCAACGAUCUGAUCAAGAAGUGGGGCGGUCCACAAAUGUUGCUGCUCGACAUGAGAGCUGGGGAACCGAUACUUGAGGAGUUCAUCGCCUCUGCUGUCAAAACUCACCUGUUGGCGCCAGUAAAGCGGCGCAGCAGCAUCAGCCGGUUCUUCUCGUCCGUGGGCCGAACCAUCGCCAGCAUCUGCAAGAGAAAGCCGGUCGACAAGGCCGGUAGCUAA